rnacentral:rRNA from 1 species
GACGAACGCUGGCGGCGUGCUUAACACAUGCAAGUCGAACGAAGUGGCGAACGGGUGAGUAACGCGUAAUCAACCUGCCCUUGAGAGGGGAACACCAGUGGGAAACGACUGCUAAUACCGCAUACUGAAGGAGGGGAUUGCGUCUGAUUCGCUAGUUGGAUGGGUAAUGGCCCACCAAGGCGAGGAUCAGUCGCCGGUCUGAGAGGAGUGACGGACACAUUGGGACUGAGACACGGGCCAGACUGCGACGGGGAGCAGCCAUUGGGAAUCUUGCGCAAUGGACGAAAGUCUGACGGAGCAACGCCGCGUUGGUGAUGACGGCCUUCGGGUUGUAAAGAUCUGUUAAUCGGGACGCGGUACCGGAAGAAAAAGCCACGGCUAACUACGUGCCAGCAGCCGCGGUAAUAC